CGUGCGCACGCGCCGAAUCCCGAAAGGGAACCGGGGAACCACCAUUUGGGGUGAAUCGAGCCCUUCGCAUCCGUGCGACCGGGCCCGUAGGAGACCUUCCUGCUCCGAACCCGUCAGCUAACCCGGUAGGCGAGAAGGAAGGAAAGG
rnacentral:sRNA from 2 species